UGCUCUGCCCUGAGCACUUCAGCACUGUGAGGCUUUUCCUUUAUGUGGCCUAAGGGGCCACCCCCAUCUCCAAAGCUGCCUCAAAAAGCCCUCCCAGCGCCUCGCUUUCAUCCUCUCUCAGGGUCCUAGACCUCAAAUUAUCUCUUGUACUUCCGGGGAUGAGAAUCGACGUCGGGUACGAAGGAAGGUGGCGUCGCCCGUUGGCAGUUUCCUUGAGUCACUGACUGUGGCCCCUUGCUCAGCUACAAUCAAGAACACCAAACAUCACUGCAUGAUCUUCGCUGCAUAGGGGCAAUAACCAACAAUUCUGCUACUCACCAUUCUCCUAAGAACACCUAUCUCCUUGGGCCGCACACUUCGGCUGAGCUCAGAGGCCGAUGCCUUUGUGGCAGGGUCUGCCUGGGUGAAGAGGAGAUGAGGUGAUGUGGCAUUGCUGAAACUCGAGUGGACCCUGGCUCCACCUCCUUAGUUCCCAAUGUGCACGAAGAAUCCACGUGGGAAAAGGAGCCACACUGCUAUACGCACUGCAGAGAAGGGGUGGACACACGGGUCAAGGGUGAAGAAAGUUGACCUUCAGAACCGAGCCCAGGAGUGGAAAAUCACCUCCUCCCCUGGAGAUUUGAAGAUAACCUUGCGCCGGCCAAGUAAAUGACCGAAAGUAACUCGGUCAAAUGCUCUGUGCCAGAUUGUAACUGUUACCCCUUUGUACAUUUCAUUUGUGAAUACUGUUAUAAGGGGUGGGUUGUUCACUGUCGAAGAGGAAUAGGACCUAGUGGGCUGUGUGCAAAGUGCUUUAAACAAGAACCAAACCUGACUAGCCGUUUUCUGGUAUUGGCCACCAGGCUGAGAUUUGAUUCAAUUGGAUUCAAUAAUUUGGUUUAGUCUAUAUCAAAACGGAUUGAGGGGGAAAUUACAAACAAAAGCUAAAAUCAUUACUGUUGAGUGCUGUAGGUUGAACAAGGUACCCUGCAGUGCAGAUCCUGUUGAAUUACGCUGGUGAGGCACCUUUAAGCGAAGGUAUGCAGCUCAGUCUUGGUACAAAACCACUGACGAAGAUUCCUGCUGCCAAGAAGAUGGUCUACCCCGCCGCUGGAGGCACCCCAGUGGGCACAGGGAACGGCAGAGGAAUCCUAGCAGUGGGAGUAAUCCUGACGAGCCGGAGUCUAGCCACGUGCCUCAGUAACCUUCCUAACCCUGAAACAGGGGAACCCGGUGACAGGUACCAGAAGGUCCAGUGCCCCUUACCCCAUGGAACUGCAGUAAGGGUAAGCCUAAUAAACCUUGUUUUAAAACAAACACUCAACAGGGGGCAUACAAAUUCAGGAAAAAUUAAAAGUAUACCUCGAAAAUGGACAGUCAGCACAUAAAUUGCACCGAAGGAGCACAGGGGAAAUUUCCAUUCCAGCUUGCAGCAAAUGUAACCGUACUGUAUGGAUUGGUAGGAAUCAAGAGUCAGUUUUUGUUGCUUAUUUUCAAGCCAAUUCACUGUGCUAUAACCCAAAUGAACUAGGUAUGUGUAUGAGGGGGGGAAAAACCUACUGGGUGGGAAAUAACCUAAUACUACCACGAAAUUCCAGGAGAAGACUUGAAUGUGGGGAAGUAAGGGAAAAAUAUGUAUUAAACUUUUUGUAUGCUCUGUAACCUUAUAUGAAAUAAAAUAAAAACUAUAGAAAUCAGUAGAGGUAAUAAGUAGGGCGCGAAUUAAUGGGUUAAUAUAAAAGGUGGGGGAUUGUUAUGUGUAACAGGUAUAAUUCGCGCCAUUUUUAGCAUGAUAUAUAUAAUAAAUAUUUGUUAGAAUGUACCCAUUUGUAUUAGAAGCCCCCCCCCCCCCAGGCAAAACCAGGUAUGGGUUGAAACCCGAUUUACAAGUAAAAGGAUGUGGCUCGCCAGGAGGUGGGCCUUAUCUGAAGCAAUACGGAGACACCCAGGCACUGAUCAUCGCGUGAAGGACCUGAGAUGGACAUCAGGAAAAUCCCCCGGGCUGAUACAUGUGGAUACCAUGUUCCCAUAAAUUUCAUCAAGGGUAUCAAGGACUCCGGACUUCGAAUUGUUCUACCUUGUUGCCAAGAAAGAAAUCUCAUCAACUUAUGGGACUCUGAAUGAAACAAAGGACUGAAUGCCGAAAUCCUGGCUUCAGGCAAAAUUUUCCGUAUAAAAAUCGCUUGUACCAGAAUGGUGGUGUGUGGGCAUAGAGGAAAACCUCCGCUGAGGCUGAUCUCUGUGUCUCGCACCCAGCGCCGAUCCCGGGCUCGGCGCUGCCCUUUUCCUUGUGGCUGGCUAGUUAGCUCUCGAUUGCUAAAAUAAAUUUUUAUUUUUAA